GUUCUUUUUGGGACAUCCGAUAAAAUUGGAAUGAUACAUGUGCAUAAAAGAUUAGCGCAAGGUUGACAAGCACAAAUUGAGAAAUGGUCCAAAUUUUU